rnacentral:rRNA from 1 species
UACGGAGGGUGCGAGCGUUGUCCGGAAUCAUUGGGCGUAAAGGGCGCGUAGGUGGCCCCUCAAGCGUGCGGUGAAAGUCAGGGGCUCAACCCCUGAUCGGCCGUGCGAACUGGGGAGCUUGAGCACUGUAGAGGCAGGCGGAAUUCCGGGUGUAGCGGUGGAAUGCGUAGAGAUCCGGAAGAACACCGGUGGCGAAGGCGGCUCUCUGGGACGGUACUGACGCUGAGACGCGAAAGCGUGGGGAGCGAACAGG